GAUGAACGCUAGCGGCAGGCCUAAUACAUGCAAGUCGAACGAUAUCUUCCAGCUUGCUGGAAGAGAAAGUGGCGCACGGGUGCGUAACGCGUAUGCAACCUACCUUUAUCGGGGGGAUAGCCCGGAGAAAUCCGGAUUAAUACCGCAUAACAUCAUUGGAUAGCAUUAUUUUAUGAUCAAACAUUUAUGGGAUAAAGAUGGGCAUGCGUGUCAUUAGCUAGUUGGCGGGGUAACGGCCCACCAAGGCAACGAUGACUAGGGGAUCUGAGAGGAUGGCCCCCCACACUGGUACUGAGACACGGACCAGACUCCUACGGGAGGCAGCAGUAAGGAAUAUUGGUCAAUGGAGGGAACUCUGAACCAGCCAUGCCGCGUGCAGGAAGACUGCCCUAUGGGUUGUAAACUGCUUUUAUCCGGGAAUAAACCUGAGUACAUGUACUUAGCUGAAUGUACCGGAAGAAUAAGGAUCGGCUAACUCCGUGCCAGCAGCCGCGGUAAGAC
rnacentral:rRNA from 1 species